GGCCUUGGCGCAGCUACACAUGCAGUCGAACGGCAGCACAGAAGAGCUUGCUCUUUGGGUGGCGAGUGGCGGACGGGUGAGUAAUGUCUGGGAAACUGCCCGAUGGAGGGGGAUAACUACUGGAAACGGUAGCUAAUACCGCAUAACGUCGCAAGACCAAAGUGGGGGACCUUCGGGCCUCACACCAUCGGAUGUGCCCAGAUGGGAUUAGCUAGUAGGUGGGGUAACGGCUCACCUAGGCGACGAUCCCUAGCUGGUCUGAGAGGAUGACCAGCCACACUGGAACUGAGACACGGUCCAGACUCCUACGGGAGGCAGCAGUGGGGAAUAUUGCACAAUGGGCGCAAGCCUGAUGCAGCCAUGCCGCGUGUAUGAAGAAGGCCUUCGGGUUGUAAAGUACUUUCAGCGGGGAGGAAGGCGACGCGGUUAAUAACCGCGUCGAUUGACGUUACCCGCAGAAGAAGCACCGGCUAACUCCGUGCCAGCAGCCGCGGUAAUACGGAGGGUGCAAGCGUUAAUCGGAAUUACUGGGCGUAAAGCGCACGCAGGCGGUCUGUCAAGUCGGAUGUGAAAUCCCCGGGCUUAACCUGGGAACUGCAUUCGAAACUGGCAGGCUAGAGUCUUGUAGAGGGGGGUAGAAUUCCAGGUGUAGCGGUGAAAUGCGUAGAGAUCUGGAGGAAUACCGGUGGCGAAGGCGGCCCCCUGGACAAAGACUGACGCUCAGGUGCGAAAGCGUGGGGAGCAAACAGGAUUAGAUACCCUGGUAGUCCACGCCGUAAACGAUGUCGACUUGGAGGCUGUUCCCCUGAGGAGUGGCUUCCGGAGCUAACGCGUUAAGUCGACCGCCUGGGGAGUACGGCCGCAAGGUUAAAACUCAAAUGAAUUGACGGGGGCCCGCACAAGCGGUGGAGCAUGUGGUUUAAUUCGAUGCAACGCGAAGAACCUUACCUACUCUUGACAUCCAGAGAACUUGGCAGAGAUGCCUUGGUGCCUUCGGGAACUCUGAGACAGGUGCUGCAUGGCUGUCGUCAGCUCGUGUUGUGAAAUGUUGGGUUAAGUCCCGCAACGAGCGCAACCCUUAUCCUUUGUUGCCAGCGAUUCGGUCGGGAACUCAAAGGAGACUGCCGGUGAUAAACCGGAAGAAGGUGGGGAUGACGC
rnacentral:rRNA from 1 species